UACAAAGGGGGCUAGCGUUGUUCGGAAUUACUGGGCGUAAAGGGCGCGUAGGCGGUUUGAAUCGUCGGAUGUGAAAGGCCUGGGCUCAACCUGGGAACGGCAUCCGAUACGGUCAGACUUGAGUGUGGGAGAGGUUGGUGGAAUUCCUAGUGUAGCGGUGAAAUGCGCAGAUAUUAGGAAGAACACCGGUGGCGAAGGCGGCUCUCUGGAACGGUACUGACGCUGAGACGCGAAAGCGUGGGGAGCGAACAGG
rnacentral:rRNA from 1 species